rnacentral:rRNA from 1 species
AGUGAACGCUGGCGGUAGGCCUAACACAUGCAAGUCGAACGGCAGCACAGUAAGAGCUUGCUCUUACGGGUGGCGAGUGGCGGACGGGUGAGGAAUACAUCGGAAUCUACUUUUUCGUGGGGGAUAACGUAGGGAAACUUACGCUAAUACCGCAUACGACCUACGGGUGAAAGCAGGGGAUCUUCGGACCUUGCGCGAUUGAAUGAGCCGAUGUCGGAUUAGCUAGUUGGCGGGGUAAAGGCCCACCAAGGCGACGAUCCGUAGCUGAUCUGAGAGGAUGGUCAGCCACACUGGAACUGAGACACGGUCCAGACUCCUACGGGAGGCAGCAGUGGGGAAUAUUGGACAAUGGGCGCAAGCCUGAUCCAGCCAUACCGCGUGGGUGAAGAAGGCCUUCGGGUUGUAAAGCCCUUUUGUUGGGAAAGAAAAGCAGCAGGUUAAUACCCCGCUGUUCUGACGGUACCCAAAGAAUAAGCACCGGCUAACUUCGUG